rnacentral:rRNA from 1 species
UACGUAGGGUGCGAGCGUUGUCCGGAAUUAUUGGGCGUAAAGAGCUCGUAGGCGGCUUGUUGCGUCGGAUGUGAAAGCCCGGGGCUUAACUCCGGGUCUGCAUUCGAUACGGGCAGGCUAGAGUUCGGUAGGGGAGAUCGGAAUUCCUGGUGUAGUGGUGAAAUGCGUAGAUAUCAGGAGGAACACCGGUGGCGAAGGCGGGUCUCUGGGCCGAUACUGACGCUGAGGAGCGAAAGCGUGGGGAGCGAACAGG